rnacentral:rRNA from 1 species
AACGAACGCUGGCGGCAGGCUUAACACAUGCAAGUCGAACGCAUCCUUCGGGGUGAGUGGCAGACGGGUGAGUAACGAGUGGGAACGUGCCCUUCAGUUCGGGAUAACCCAGGGAAACUUGGGCUAAUACAGGAAACGUGCGUGAGCCGAAAGAUUUAUCGCUGAAGGAUCGGCCCGCGUCUGAUUAGCUAGUUGGUGGGGUAAUGGCCCACCAAGGCGACGAUCAGUAGCUGGUCUGAGAGGAUGAUCAGCCACAUUGGGACUGAGACACGGCCCAAACUCCUACGGGAGGCAGCAGUGGGGAAUAUUGGACAAUGGGCGCAAGCCUGAUCCAGCCAUGCCGCGUGAGUGAUGAAGGCCUUAGGGUUGUAAAGCUCUUUCGUCCGGGACGAUAAUGACGGUACCGGAAGAAGAAGCCCCGGCUAACUUCGUGCCAGCAGCCGCGGUAA